rnacentral:rRNA from 1 species
AUUGAACGCUGGCGGCAUGCUUUACACAUGCAAGUCGAACGGCAGCGCGGGCUUCGUCCUGGCGGCGAGUUGCGAACGGGUGAGUAAUGCAUCGGAACGUGCCCAGUAUUUGGGGAUAGCCCGGCGAAAGCCGGAUUAAUACCGCAUACGACCUGAGGUUGAAAGCGGGGGACCGAAAGUCCUCGCGGUAUUUGAUCGGCCGUUGUCGGAUUAGCUAGUUGGUGUGGUAAAGGCUUACCAAGGCGACGAUCCGUAGCUGGUCUGAGAGGACGACCAGCCACACUGGGACUGAGACACGGCCCAGACUCCUACGGGAGGCAGCAGUGGGGAAUUUUGGACAAUGGGGGCAACCCUGAUCCAGCCAUGCCGCGUGCGGGAAGAAGGCCUUCGGGUUGUAAACCGCUUUUGUUCGGGAAGAAAUCCUCUGGGCUAAUACCCCGGGGGGAUGACGGUACCGGAAGAAUAAGCACCGGCUAACUACGUG